AACCCAUAAGAUUUUUGAGGCGAUAUAAUGUUUUGUUCGAAUAUAUGACUACGUUCGAUUUAUGUAUGUGUUGUAUAUAUAAUCAAAGGUCGUAAAGAUAAAAGGUCCACUACAAUAUUUGUGCCUUCUCAAUUUUGUAUUGACGCCAUAUAUCAUUUCAUCGGUCUGCAUUUCAAUCUCAUCCUACUAUAUAUUGGAAAACACAUACGUGGAUUAGUUUCAUGCAAUAAAGAAAAAAAAUUGUACUAGUUAUUAGACAUUAACAUCACUUCGUAUCAUUUACCAAAAAUGCUAACAAAUAAAAGUUCCAUUUCCGACCAUUUUGAAACCUUUUUGUCCACGUAAUUAUGCAAAACUACCAAAGGCUUUUCUAUCUUUCACCGCACACUUACGGGUUAUCAAAAAAAAAUAUCACAUAACCCAAAAAAAAAAUAUCACAUAACCUAUACCAGUUUUAAUUUAUAAUCAAAGAGCAUUCGUUUACGAAUCAUGCUUCUCCAAUAUAAAAUGUAUUCAUUACUUACUACUUCUUC
rnacentral:lncRNA from 1 species